GUCUCUUUUGCCUUACUGGGGUCAGCAGGGCCCAUCAUUGUCCUCCACUCCUCUACCGCAUUCUCUUUAGACAGAAUCAGCAUUGUACAUGGACCACUGGUGGAAACGGAUAACAGCUCUGAGUCUUCUCCUAUAAUGCCUGAUGAGGUUGGAGAAUACGUGACAUGGGAUCUGAGACUGUUCCUCCAUACAGAAUCUCUCCAGAUCCUUCAAAUUUCAAGGUCCACGCUGGUGGACUCUCCUCUUCAGUUCACCCCACAGGUUUUCUAUGGGUUCAGGUCAGGGGACUGGGAUGGCCAUCGCAGGACCUUGAUUUUGUGGUCAGUAAACCAUUUUUGUGUUGAUUUUGAUGUAUGUUUUGGAUCAUUGUCCAGCUGGAAGAUCCAUCCACGGCCCAUUUUAAGCUUUCUGGCAGAGGCAGUCAGGUUUUCAGAUAGAAAUAUAAUAUGUACAGAAGUAAAAGUCCAUGGCAAACACUUUUACCUUGCUAUAAUCAGAGGAAAGUAGAAUUUGUGAGAGAGUGUAUAUGGUCUCACCGACACAUGUAGUCCACUAACUGGUUGAAGAAUGGCUUGUCUGUGAGCUGUUUGUAGAAUUCCUCAGCCAUCUCCCUGGACAAAACCAUCUCCUUCUGCUCAGAGAUGGUGAAUCCUGCAGCUCGGACCUCCACCAAGAUCUCCUCUGUGGAACAGACAUGCAACUACGAUUGAAGAUUUAUCUAGAGGAUGGUCAGUAGAGCAAAAAUGAGGUUGUAUUUCCAUGCAAGCAGACGCGUUUCUGGCACAUGCCUCUGUUUUCUCUGGCUGCGUCAGGCCGAACGAGUGCCAGCGUCCUCUCCAC